rnacentral:misc_RNA from 1 species
ACUCUUCAACCCUCCGGUUCCUUGUGAACUGAUAGGUGUUUGGAUCUUGAGCGCUGCUGGCCUAACCCUUUCGGGGGCACAUGGCGAAGCUCGUUCGUAAUACAUUAGCAACUCAAUUUCGAGUAUUCGGAUUGACUCGGCGUAAUAGACUAUUCGCUGAGGACACUUAGGUGGCCGAAUCUUGAGGUAGUAGCUUCUAACUCGAUCAAAAGUCAAAUUUUAG